CGGGUAGCGGAACACGUACGCAACCUUCCUUUAACUGGAGAAUAGCCCCUCGAAAGAGGGAUUAAUACUCCGUAACAUGAUGAUAAGGCAUCUUAUUAUUAUUAUAGCUCCGGCGGUUAGAGAUGGGCGUGCGCCUGAUUAGGUAGUUGGCGGGGUAACGGCCCACCAAGCCUGCGAUCAGUAACUGGUGUGAGAGCACGACCAGUCACACGGGCACUGAGACACGGGCCCG
rnacentral:rRNA from 1 species